UGUAUUUUCUUCUCACAGUUGCAGAAGGUAGAAGUUAUAAUCAAGAUCAUCAGAACUGGCAUCUGGUGAGAUCUCUCUCCUUGGGUUGUAAGUGACCACCUUCUCUAUGUCCUUCCAUGGACUUUCCUCUGUGCUUUUGUGGUGCCAGUGCGCGUGACAUUUCCCUGAAGCCACAGCCCUUGUCACCCCCUGCAAAGCUCUGAAGUUGUGCACAGGUAGGCCAGGUGGCAGAUUUCUCUCAAAAGCGGCUGAGCUCGCGCUCUGGCUAGGGAAGGCAGAGGCCUGCGGCACAAAGUACAUUGUCUUAGACAUCAGGACAGUGUCUAUAGCAGUUUAGGAAAGAAGGCGGCUCCCUGGGCUGGAGACGACGCAAUGCUCUGGGAAGACCCCUGGGUGCGGGUGAGAGAGGAAUCCGAGCUGCACAAGGCCAAUGAGGGGAGGACGACCCGCCCGAUUUAGAUAAAGGUAACAAGAAAUUUCAGCUUCCGGCAUGAUGGGCGAAGGCCCCCACCUUCAGCCUCGCUCCUCCAUGCCUUCAGAGCUGUUCCGCCAUGCAGACGGGGAGCCUGCCUGUUCUUUAACCUCUCCUACCUGAUGGGAGAGGACAAGCUACCAGGACAGCUUGUCUCACCAAGAAAUUGUGAUACCGCAUCCCCCAACGUGCUGGCUUCCUGACUUCCAAAGUUGCGGCAAGGUAAGAAGAACUACAGAGGAAGAACCUAAUGCAGACGUUUCCCAGGAGACUUUAACUGAAGUAUCAGCAAACUGAAAGCUAGGACGCUUCAGACAUACCAGUGGGCCUAACCUUUUUCACAAGGAGCUCUGGCCUGGCCAACAAGAAUCACCUUUGGUGCUUCAGUGCAGUGUCACCAUCACCUGUUUGAAAUGCAGCCAGGUAACAUGUACCAUUUUAUUUGCUUUCAGUAUCACAGUCUAUCUUCUAAUAAGAAACCUAGGCCUCUGGCUGGGUGUGGUGGCUUACACCUGUAACCCAGCACUUUGAGAGGCUGAGGUGGGUGGAUCACUUGAGGUCAGG
rnacentral:lncRNA from 1 species